rnacentral:piRNA from 1 species
CUGCCCCAGGGUGAGAAAGUCCAAG